UAAAACUAUUUAUUUCCUCUCUUGCAAGGUCAUCCUCCUCAAGUCUUUAUCAUGAGACAUCACAGCCAUAGAAACACAAACGAGAAAAACUGCUUUUCAUUCAUUUACUGAUUCGAUUGAGACAAAAACACAAUAAUUAUAGCUAUUUUAUGACAAAACAAAGCAAAUCUUGAUUGGCAAAUAAACCAAACAGCCACAUGUAUGAUAAACAGUUAUGAUAAACAAAAACAAAAUGGCAUUCUAGACAUGGAUCACUUGAAAUGGAUUUUCAAUGACACACAAAUAUGUGUAAGCACACACACACACACACACACACACACACACACACACACACACACACACGCACACACGCACGCACGCACGCACGCACGCACGCACGCACGCACGCACGCACGCACGCACGCACGCACGCACGCACGCACACCUGAUGAUAGAAAUGCUUUUUGAUUUGAAUAUGGCGACAUGAUGAGCUUAUAUAAUAUGGACGGAGCAGUCUUCAGAGCAGCCUUAAGACUACUCUGACAAGUCUUAAACAAAUAAAAAUACACACAUUCACCCACUCACUUCACUCUUCAUCCAUCCAUCCAUCCAUCCAUCCAUCCAUCCAUAUCUCCAUCUGAACACACAUGAUUUGGAGGUGCAUGGUAAAAUAUCUAAUCAUUAUUUUGUCACACAAGUAAUCAUUUGAAAGUAAACACUAUUCGUGGCAUAACCUGUCUAUUUAAAUACAAUAUUGUUUUUAAAUUCCCUUUUCUACAAUUUCUCCCCACCAUGACAUGAUUGACUGAUAGACUGAUUGAUUGAUUGGUUGGUUCAUUGAUUGGUUGACAGGACGGAAAGGAAAGUGAGUUGUCUUGACUGUUUUGUCUACAGUUUGGAUUGCAACUGCUAUUGGGAUGGUAGUUGAAAUAAACCAUUACAACAGAACACUGCAGACCUUGAUUGAUAAACCAGCAUCUGCUACAGGCCAAUGGUGCACGGCCAGGUGUAGGCCUAUACUGCUAGCUGGUGCAUGUGCUAGCUGAUAGACAAGUGGGGUCUUCCAAAAGCAGGAGAAGAAGUCACUUACAUAUGACUGAAACCUCACCCCAAGUCAUAAAUCUACUAAUAGAACAAACCCACAAGAUCCAUCUACUAGGAAAGUUACCACUUAUAUUUGAAUUUAACUUCACCUGGUCAGUCACACCAAAGCAUCUACUUUUAAAUAACCUCUCGACCGGGUUGGGAGGGUCUUGCACACUUCCUGACCAUUAAGCGUCUGAUGAUUCGGGGCACACUAAUUUCCCCACAUUUCUGAUCCACAUUAAUGUGAACCACAAUGCCAUGAUGACUAACAGUCUGGGCUGAGGUGAGGGCUUGAGGAAAAAGCUGGAUUUGGACACAGGCCUAUAGAUGGCGCCAUCUUCCCCAACACUGUGGUCCUCUCAUCUCACAAGGACAAGGCAGGGAAGGUGUUCACUCUUUCCAGUCAUUCACUAACAUAGAAAUGUGGGUCUUUUUUGCAGGUUGAGGGUCCCAUCAUGAGAUUUGGACAUCUGCCAGCAUAAAGCAGGUACGUACAUUCAAAGAUGUGGGGACAUUUGCAAUCACAAUGGGUGCACAAAUCCAGUUCAGUCACCAACAUGCGUCAGUCUAGUCUGAUCUAUCAUCAUCAUCAUCGUCCUUUGAGUCAAAUUGUUUGUUUCUUUGUGUAGUUGUCGUUUUUUUAACAAGGUGAAAGUUAAGGCCUUGCCUAGCUUUGUCAAAAGUAGGAGGGAAAAAAAUAAGUACAAAAAGAACUGAACUAAAAGAAAUAAUACAAACAAAAAACACAACAAAACAAAACUAAUCAUUUCCGUUUGGCUCUGUAACCCCAAGAUGAGGCUAAAAGACGGUUUAAAUUAGGAUUCAAGGACACCUACAACAUCAACAAGAACAUCAACAAACAACAGAUGAAGAGCAAGUCAAAUAUAAACUGAACUGAACUGAACUGAACUGAACUGAAACAAAGCACAAAUCAAAUACAAACUGAACUGACCGUUCUCAUCGUGCCCUGCAAAGGGCUCUUUGCAUACGGUGGGACAUGUGGAUAUUGGCUAGGCUAAGAGAGCGGGACAUGGCUAGCCUAGGAGAUGGGAGAGGGGACAUGGCUAGGAUAGGAGAUGGGAGAGUAGGACAUGGCUAGGAUAGGAGAUGGGAGAGGGGGACAUGGCUAGGAUAGGAGAUGGGAGAGGGGGACAUGGCUAGGCUAGAAGGUGGGAGAGGGAGAGCAGGACAUGGCUAGGCUAGAAGAUGGGAGAGGGGACAUGGCUGGCUAGGCUAGGAGAUGGGAGAGGGGACAUGGCUGGCUAGGCUAGGAGAUGGGAGAGGGGGCAUGGCGAGACUGGCUAGGCUAGGAGAUGGGAGAGGGGACAUGGCUGGCUAGGCUAGGAGAUGGGAGAGGGGGCAUGUCCCUGGUGAAGGGGAGUAGAUGGUAGGUGGGAGGGGACAUAGCUAGCUAGGCUCGGCUCUGCUUGGCUGGUGUUCUGGCCUAAAAAAGGGCCACACAUUCUUCCCUAGCAGGCGCUGUUGUGCUGUGGCUGUGCCUUAGUGUAAUGUAAACAGUCCAAAGACCAAAGUCUCCCAAAGUGGGGAGAGAGCGAGAACAGAGAGAGAGAGAGAUUUUGGCCUGAUUUGCCAGUCGCACGACUCUUUGAGAAUUUUUUGCUCAAUCGGAGUUCAAUCAUGACUCUCGCAUCGUGUAGCGUACAUGGGGUAACAACAAGCGAUAUUACCUCACGACCAGCUUGCGAUCAGCAAUCGUAUGGUCAAACUGUUUCAAACUGUUUGAAAUCCUGGUCGCCCCUCGUGAAUCGCACAGUUGAAGCAGUCCUACAACCCGAUUUGAAACUACGUUUCACACUGCACAAAUUGCCAGGGUGAGCCGGUUCGCUAUUCGUCGCUUCCGGAAAAAAAGCCUGUCAUGACGUACAUUGUGAGCAUUCUGCUUGCACCCUUGGCUCGUAUAGAGUGAUGAUGCGAGUCGUGAGAUGGGAACUUUUAAACCCUGCCAUUCCCACGAACAGUGUGAGCAGGAGCUGAAUACAUGCGACUGAAAAUAUCGCAGUGUAUGGCCAGCUUUACACAGACUGGCAGCUUACACUAGUUUAUCAAUCUUUCUCAGUGAGGACAGAGGCAACCAAAGGGCUCUCUCUCUUUCUUGCUUUCUCAAUCCUUACUCUCCUUCUCUCUCUCUCACUGGGGCAUCCUGGCUAACGGGUGCAAAAAACAACACAGCGAUAACAACAUUCUAUCUAAUCUCCCAUUCAUGUUCAGAUCAUCUCUGCAUGUGUCUGUGUGUGUGUGUGUGUGUGUGUGCGUGUGCGUGUGUGUGUAAGGGGUUAACAGGGUCUGUAAUUACACUAGUUUGGCAAGAGACCUGGCACCAUUAUGUUCACUGCUACUUGGUAAUUGAAAAUGAUCCGAUGACGUUUAUGAGACUGACAUAUGCACGAAAAUACAGCUUAUCGCACCACACACACACGCACACACAAACACACGCGCACACACCCACACACUUAUUACAAUAUUACAAUCAUAUUUAUAAAGGCACUGAUUGAACACUAUACAUAUUUUAAGAUUAUCCAGCAUUCCGUGCUCAAUACGAAAAGGUAGAAAUCUAAAAAUGUUUCUUUUUUUUAAACAUUAUUUGAAAAAUAGACCUGUGACAUAUAUAGAGAAAAGGAAAAAAAAAAGAAUCGUUUUGCACCCUUGCCGCACAUGUACAACAGAGAAAUGCCUACGGAUGUAUAAAAGCGAACACAAUCUGAUUCUAUAGGAGUUUCCGACUGUUUGACAGCUUCCUAAACUCCGCUCUUCACAACCUAAAUAACUCUACGCAGAGGUUUUUUUUCUGUCUUUGCUGAAAUGCGUAUAACCAUGAUUCAGAACCAGAUUGUUUUUCGUUAUACUCAUUAACCAGACAUGUCUUGAUCUGCAAAAGAAAAGAAAAAGGAAAAGAAAAAUAUCUGAAAUGCUAAGGCUACACUCUAAAGCAUAGCAUGUCGAAGCUACACUCCAAAGUAUGUAGCAUGUUGAGGAUGUUCAGGACUCCAGUCAUCGUGAUUACAGCUUAGCCUACGUACGUACAUACUGUAUGUAAGUCCAGGAAAACUACAGUAUCUCCCAAGGAAAA